CAGAAAACCAUUAAAUCAUUCAAAAUAAAAUACUUUUAUUUUUAGAGAAUGUAUGCUUUUAGGAAGCUGUCUCCUUAUUUAAAUAAAACAUUGUUUGUCUGUAGUUAGUGUUGGGGCAAUCUGGGGGGGGUUUCUUCUCAUCUUUCAGAAACUUUGUCUGCGAACACUCUUUAAUGGACAAGAUCAGGAAAUUGAGCAGAAGAACGAAUUUAAUUUAAGGCAGGAAAAAAUUUUGUCCUUCGUAAAAGUGAUGAGCAUUUAAUAAUUCCAGGCACAUGGCAAUAGAGGCCCUCUAAAUAAGGAAUAAAUACCUCUUAGACAGGUGGGAGAUUAUGAUCAGAAGAACAGGUAACUUAACUCCUACAAUGUUUGCAGAAAGUCAGGAGUCUGUCUAGUGGUUAAACUAGAGUAAUGGAAUGUACUGUCCACAUUUCCAGUUUGCAUGUUAACUUUGCUUAGUCAUCUCAUCUGGUGUUAGCCAGUGUUCACACUGUUGGCCUACUUUUUAGAUACCUGGUGGGGGGGUGGUUGGUUUUUUUUUUUUUUUUAAAGAAUUUUCCUUUGCAGAGGCUUCAUUUCAUCCUUCGUGAAGCUUUUCAGGAUUUUGGCUUUCAUGUAAACGCUUGGCUCUGCCUUCUGUUCUCCUAGGGAGUGUUUCAGACCUUGCAGUGAGUUUAUCGGCAUAUUUAAGUAUAAACAUUUUUCCCCUUGAAUUUGGAGGGAAGGGAGGAGAGGGUGGGGCUUACUUGUUUUAGCUUUUUUUUUUACAGACUACACAGAAUGCAGUUGUCUUGACCUCAGGUCUGUGUGUUCUCUUGGCAAGUAAUACAGUACUGUUCUGAUCCGCUGCUAUUAGAAUGCAUUUUGAAACGACUGGAGUAUGAGUCAAAGUUGUGUUUCCCCCAAUGCUUGGAGUGGAGUAGUGAUUGUUAAAAGAAAAUCCAGCUGAGUGAUAAAAGGCUGAGUGUUGAGGAAAUUUCUGCAGCUUUUUAAGCAUUCAUGUUUGUGAUUGGAGCGGAGUCCCUUUUGCUGUGCUUUUUUUUAGGUAAAAUGCUUUUUGUUCACUUCUGGUAAGGGGGUGGGGAGGGCACUGAAGCCUUUAGUCUUUUCCAGAUGCAACUUUAAAAUCAGUGACAAGAAAUAAUUCCAAACGAGCAGCACUCUUGAAGAAAUUUAACUGGCAAGUGGAAAUGUUUACCAACAGUUCAGUGGUCUUAGUGCAUUUGUUUUUGUUUGGGUGUCUCUCUCUCCUCCCCUGGUCUUAAUUUCAUAUACAGGAACAUUCAAAACAACAGACAGACGUAUGCGAAAGGCCAGAGAAGCCAGACCCAGUAAGGAAAAAUAGCUUACUUACUUUUAAAAUAAUAAACCAAAAAACACUGCAUUUUAAAUGUGGGGAUUGGGAACCACUAGUUCUUUCAGAUGGUAUUCUUCAGACUAUAGAAGGAGCUUCCAGUUGAAUUCACCAGUGGACAAAAUGAGGACAACAGGUGAACAAGUUUUUUCUAUGUCUACAUACCAAGUCAGAUCUGUAUGAGUAAACAACAAUUCAGUGUUAAAUGACCUUUCAGCUUUACGCUGGAGUCAACAGCAUGAGCAAGUUGUUUGUUGGCCUGGGGGUGGAGGGGUGAGGUGGGCGCUAAGCCUUUUUUUUAAGAUUUUUCAGGUACCCCUCACUAAAGGCACCAAAGGCUUAAAGUAGGACAACCAUGGAGUCUUCCUGUGGCAAGAGAGACAACAAAGCGCUAUUAACUAAGGUCAAUCAAAAUGGUGUCGGCCUCACAGCCCCAUCUUCUGUUAGAAAUGAGGACUUGACUCAACCCCCUUGACAAUGUGCAUUGAGGCUCUUUGGGGGAGCGAGCAUUUAAAGGAAUGCUUGAGUACCUUGUAUAUAUAUCCCUGUGCUUGUCCUAAUAUUUAAUUUGGCUGUUUUCAUAGCAGCUGUUAAUGAAGCCUGAACUUCAAGUGAUGCUUGAAGGGGAGGGAAAGGGGGAAAGCGGGCAACCACUUUUCCCUAGCUUUUCCAGAAGCCUGUUAAAAAGCAAGGUCUCCCCACAAGUGACUUCUCUGCCACAUCGCCACCCUGUGCCUUUGGCCUAGCGCAGACCCUUCACCCCUCACCUCGAUGCUGCUGGUAGCUUGGAUCCUUGUGGGCAUGAUCCAUAAUCGCUUUUAAGAUAUUCCUCAUGCAACUAGUGAUUGGAGAAGCCUGUUUUGAAAAAUUGAUUACACAUAUCAAUAAA
rnacentral:lncRNA from 1 species